rnacentral:rRNA from 1 species
UACGUAGGGAGCAAGCGUUGUCCGGAAUCAUUGGGCGUAAAGCGCGCGUAGGCGGCCCUGUAAGUCCGUUGUGAAAGUCAAAGGCUCAACCUUUGAAAGCCGAUGGAUACUGCAGGGCUAGAGUCCGGAAGAGGCGAGUGGAAUUCCUGGUGUAGCGGUGGAAUGCGCAGAUAUCAGGAGGAACACCAGUGGCGAAGGCGGCUCACUGGCCCGAUACUGACGCUGAGGCACGAAAGCGUGGGGAGCAAACAGG